rnacentral:tRNA from 1 species
GCUUUUGUAGCUUAAUUAAAGCGGAAAACUUUUAAUUUUCUGAUGUGUGGAUAAAUAACACCAAGAGCU